CUUCGUUCUCUAGUAGUGUUUUAGUUAAAAUCAUUUUUGUGCAAAUUCUUUUUGAAAUUGUUUACUUCAUUUUCGAAUGGUUCCGUUCACAUUUGUUGUUCAUGUGAGAUGUUAUAUUUACCAGUUACUGCAUUAUAUUUACCACUAUUGCAAGAUGUUUGUUUAGGAAUUACUACUGUUUUGUUUAUCUGGAAUGUUGUGUGGGAGUCCAUCAGGAAUUGCUGGUCUGCAGUAAAUUUAUCAGGCUAGGUGAUGAACAUUAAUGAAUCAGAAAAUGUUUUGCAUGCGUGGUGAAUGUUCUGACAGUUUUAACAGUUGUGAUGUGGUGUAUUUUACUUCCACGCAUCAUGUAGAAGUUGGUGACCUGAUACAAUGAACAUGGAAAAAUCACCUGCGCCCACGUUGACGAUGAUACCUGUACCGAAGUGCUGGAAACUAAAAUUAAAUUUUCUUUACAAUUUGGUUUCAGGCUAUUUUUAUAAUUUUUUAAUAGUUUUGCAUUUAUUGAUGAGUCCGCAAGCUCCUAGCUGAUUUCCUCCUUUAGAUACCGCCCGUCGACGAUUUGGCAGCCUCACACAAUUAAAGAACGUAUGCCAAAAAGCCAAAGUGAGCUCUUCCGAGCAGAAAAAUGACGGCGUAUCCAUUUAAUUGAAAAUAGGCACAAGAUAACGCACAAUUGGCGUGCUUGUCUCAAUGGAGAAAUUUUUCCGUGGAACUUAUAACCGAAAUACCAUUGCAGCUGUUCAAAAAAAGAAGUGUAUUACCAUACAGGUGUUGACUAGCUAACAAUCCAGAGAUACGUCAACUUGCGAAAUUUCUAGAUGUGUGUGAAGCGCAAUCAGCAUCCUUGUUGAACUGUGAACCCAAAUCAUGUAUUU